rnacentral:miRNA from 1 species
CAGAACAUGGAAUUAAAGUUGAAUUUCAGAUAAACAGGGAAUACUUUUUUAGUAUAAGUACAUUCUAUGAAAUUUUGGGAUAUACUUAUACUAAAAAAAUUACUCAUUGUUUAUCAGAACUUCAGAUUUCACUGGACAUCCUAUAUUUU